rnacentral:rRNA from 1 species
UACGUAGGGCGGCGAGCGUUAUCCGGAAUUAUUGGCGUAAAGAGCUCGUAGGCGGUCUGUCGCGUCUGCUGUGAAAACUCAGGGCUUAACCCUGAGCUUGCAGUGGGUACGGGCAGACUAGAGUGCGGUAGGGGAGACUGGAAUUCCGUGGUGAUAGCGGUGAAAUGCGCAGAUAUCGAGGAGGAACGACCGGUGGCGGAAGGCGGGUCUCUGG